rnacentral:rRNA from 1 species
AACGAACGCUGGCGGCAUGCCUAACACAUGCAAGUCGAACGAGACCUUCGGGUCUAGUGGCGCACGGGCGCGUAACGCGUGGGAACCUGCCCUUAGGUUCGGAAUAACUCCCCGAAAGGGGUGCUAAUACCGGAUAAUGUCUUCGGACCAAAGAUUUAUCGCCUUUGGAUGGGCCCGCGUUGGAUUAGCUAGUUGGUAGGGUAAAAGCCUACCAAGGCGACGAUCCAUAGCUGGUCUGAGAGGAUGAUCAGCCACACUGGGACUGAGACACGGCCCAGACUCCUACGGGAGGCAGCAGUGGGGAAUAUUGGACAAUGGGCGAAAGCCUGAUCCAGCAAUGCCGCGUGAGUGAUGAAGGCCUUAGGGUUGUAAAGCUCUUUUACCCGGGAUGAUAAUGACAGUACCGGGAGAAUAAGCUCCGGCUAACUCAGUG